UACGGAAGGGGCAAGCGUUGUUCGGAAUCAUUGGGCGUAAAGGGCGCGUAGGUGGUUUUGUAUGUCUACCGUGAAAGCAUACAGCUCAACUGUGUUACGUCGGUAGAAACUGCAAGACUUGAGGCUGGGAGGGGCUGGUGGAAUUCCCCGUGUAGCGGUGAAAUGCGUAGAGAUGGGGGAGAACACUCGUGGCGAAGGCGGCCAGCUAGACCAGCUCUGACACUGAGGCGCGAUAGCGUGGGGAGCAAACAGG
rnacentral:rRNA from 1 species